AGUACUGACCUUUUGGGAAUGGAUGACCUAUCAGUUGGCUGAUCCCUGGAGAAAAUGGAUUCUGCUUUCCUCAGCAGCUGUUGAUUGCCUGUAGUCCUUCAUCUAGAAGCUGACCUUGUGUUUAAAAUACAAAGUAUCUCCAGAAACCCCUCAAAAAAGGAGAAAGAAGGAGUGGGGAAGCCAAAGAAGAUGGAGGAUACCAAGAGAAAAAUUACCUCUAAAGCAACUGACUAAAAUUCAUAAUACUUCAGAGAGUACUCAACAAAUGCAGAGCCUACACAUUUCUGCAUCGACUCUCGAGGACCACCUGGUUUAAACCUCUGUGUCAAGUUUACCACCCACUAAAAUCUUUGGAGACAAAUUAUUAGUUUAAUUCAGAAACCUAAAAAAAAUAAAGAAUUUUCAUUAGCUUCAGUAAAUCUAGUGUCUAUUUAGCAUUUCACUUAAUGAAAACUUUCUGCAUGUUUAUCUAAAGUAUUUAAGUUAGAAUUAUGAGAAGAAUUUGCCUGCUAUAAUAAGUAAAUGAACAAGAAAGCACUUAAAAAUAUGAAAAAUAAUGUUUACUUAAAAACAACAAUAAAACAAAACAAGGCAAGAACUGGUGUUAUCAAUUUCAGAAAUUGCUUCCCAUAUACCUAGCCACCUUUUCUUUCUUUGCCUAGUUCUCUCAUCUCGGUUUUGCUGUCUCCCGUUCUUCCCUACUGUUUGCAUGAGUCCCUUGUGAUACAGUUAAGUGUUACCUUAUUUAGCAUUGGCCUAAAGUGUUGAAUGAUUUAACAGGA
rnacentral:lncRNA from 1 species